rnacentral:lncRNA from 1 species
CACCUUCCAUAUGCUCAGGACCACAGAACCAGAGCUCUGGAAGUUGAGGGAGAAGCAGCUGUUGGAGGACAUUAAGCCUGCACAGGGAUGGAGCCUAGGAUAUGGUGCAUGCCUCUGUGGGAAAUGAGUGGCUUUUCAGACACCUGAUUGUAUUCCCUGGAAACAUUUUGAUAGGAAAAACAAUUUGUUAGGCCUGGAUGACUUUUUGGAAUAAAUCAAUUUUCCUCCUUCACCAGGAAUGACCGUACAACUCACAGAAGCCCGCAUAAAGCCAGUUACAGCUGGCCUAAGGUAUACAAGUAGAAAUAAAAUGGUCUUGAACACUCCACAUGCCGGUGAAAACCUUCCUGCUCAUUCCAGGAGAGGCUGAUACUGGCCAUGACUGGGGAAAAGACAUUGAACUGGGCAGAGUACCUGUGAGGUACCUCCUGUGAGACCCUGCAUGUAAGGUAAGAAAAGCAUGGCAGCUUUACUUCCCUGGUCUACUGUCCAGUAAUGAUCACUCGGAUUUGUUCUGCAAGUUCUGCUUCCAAGUGAAGGAAGGAAGCCUGUGGGCUGGGGUGCUUGGCAUCGAUAGAGGGAGAAACAUCUGCUUAUGGAAUGCAGGUGGCUGCAGAAUAAUUUUUUUUUCUUUUUCUAUUUUUUUUCUUUUUCUAUUUUUUUCUUUUUCAUAGGAAAGAGCAUUCCCCAUGGCUACAUACACAGACAUCAGAUUUAAAAAUAGCCAAGUUCCACCUCGACUGUGGGUGAGUGAAAGACAGAAGACAGAUGCAUUGGCUGCCAGCUACACUUGACAUCUACUUUUUCUUUCCUCACCCUGGCAGCCAGCAGUUGCACACAUGUGCACAGCGUUCGCAUAUUUUCCUUUAUUUUUCACUCGAAAGAUGCAGGAGGAGUUAGGAAGCUCAGGGACGGAUGGGGGUUUCGUUUAUCCUUUUUUUUCUCCCCUCGCCAGUUCUUGAAGGACCAGAAGAAGAACUAAACCAAACAUUCAUUUUCCGACGGCGUCUCCCCAGCUCCUGCCCCUCUCCGCCGGACCGGUGAAUUAACAAAACCUCACGUUACAACCCCCACC